GGGCCGGUAGCUCAGUGGUAGAGCAGUUGCCUCUUAAGCAACUUGUCGAGAGUUCGAUCCUCUCCCGGCUCA
rfam:Microgenomates bacterium GW2011_GWB1_45_17 TX00_C0003, whole genome shotgun sequence.